UCCAUGGCACGCUGGUACAACAAAGUCGAAGAAGCGGGAUUCCGCUCCUUUAAUGUCAUCGCAGCCACCUUCUAUGAGCAUUAUGAUGAGAUACUCAACUUCUACAACAACCGUUCCUCAAAUGCACUUGCUGAAUCAUUCAAUGCUAAAAUCAAACUCUUUAGAGCGAAUCUCAGGGGAGUUGUUGACAAGAAGUUUUUCUUAUUCCGCAUUGCGAACUUAUAUGCAUAUCCCCAC
rnacentral:rRNA from 1 species